GCCUUCGUGGCGCAAUGGCAGCGCGUUAGACUUCUAAGCUAUGUAAAAUGACUUAGUGGUAUCUAAAGGCUGCGAGUUCGAGUCUCGCCGUAGGCU